GGAUGUGAGGGCGAUCUGGCUGCAACAUCUGUCGCCCCAUUGAUCGCCAGGGUUGAUUCGGCUGAUCUGGCUGGCCAGGCGGGUAUCCCCUUCCUCCUUCACUGCUCCAUGUGCGUUCCUCCCAAAGCUGCGUGCUUGGUCGAAGAGGACGACCUUCCCCGAAUAGAGGAGGACCGGUCUUCGGUCAAGGGUAUACGAGUAGCUGCGCUCCCCUGCUAGAACCUCCAAACAAGCUCUCAAGACUUAUUUAUUAUAUAUACAAUAUUCUGCCUGCAGGCCAGAAGAGGGCACCAGAUCUCAUUACAGAUGGUUGUUAGCCACCAUGU
rnacentral:snRNA from 1 species